rnacentral:rRNA from 1 species
CCUACGGGUGGCAGCAGUGGGGAAUAUUGCACAAUGGGGGAAACCCUGAUGCAGCAACGCCGCGUGGGUGAAGGAGCGUUUCGGCGCGUAAAGCCCUGUCAGCGGGGAAGAAGAAAGACGGUACCCGACCAAGAAGCCCCGGCUAACUACGUGCCAGCAGCCGCGGUAAUACGUAGGGGGCGAGCGUUAUCCGGAAUUACUGGGUGUAAAGGGAGCGUAGACGGCGAGGUAAGCCUGAAGUGGAAGCCCGCGGUCCAACCGCGGAACUGCUCUUGGAACUGCGUGGCUGGAGUGCAGGAGGGGCAGGCGGAAUUCCUGGUGUAGCGGUGAAAUGCGUAGAUAUCAGGAGGAACACCGGUGGCGAAGGCGGCCUGCUGGACUGCAACUGACGUUGAGGCCCGAAAGCGUGGGGAGCAAACAGGAUUAGAUACCCCGGUAGUC